UGCCACAGCCACAUCACCCUGCAGCCCAAAACGGGUUACUCACUGAAGCCAAGCAGGGCUGAGCCUGGUCAGUACCUGAAUGGGAGACCACAAAACUAGGUUGCUGUUGGAA
rnacentral:rRNA from 1 species